AUCAGGAUGAAAUAUUUUUUUUCUGCAAAGGUGGCAAUAAGAGGCAAAGUUGUGGAUAAAUCUUCAUAUCUGUGCCUUGUUCAGGCCACGGUAGAAGAAAGGAGCAAGAGCACUACAGUUUCCCCUCUGGCUGCCAGCAAACCACCUUAGGAUUCAUUCUGAAUGUUUCAGUUUGACCCCGAACAGAACUCCUUGACCUGGAAUCUGCAGCUGGUGGAGAACCUGCCUCUCAUUUGUACUUCUGGAGACCAAUGAGCUGUUCACUUCUGCUGUGCUGCAAGGCUUAUUCACUUUAUGGUCAAUUCUCAAAUGUCUGUGAGAAGAUUAUCUGGGUUAUGUAUUAUAUGUGUCAUGCUUAAAAAAAUCCUUUUCUGACCUCAUUCCAUGCUUAUAGUCUCGUUCUUAAAAGGUAAAUAAACUAAACAGAAUGUGCUAGCA
rnacentral:lncRNA from 1 species